GCUUUGGCUGCACAUGGGGUGGCAAGUGGAAUGGACACAGCAUUCCCAUUUCGCUCGGCCAAAUGGAUUUUCCCACGGAGGAGCACACCAUGAAUUGUUGCGUGGGGCAGCAGGAGGCAGAUUGACCCAGCCUUGCCCACCAGGGAAGAGGGCCUAUGGUGCCUGCCCGUUGCACCCAUCGAGUCAAGGACUUCCUUCAGGAGCACAAGGGCCGAGCGGCCAGCAGACGAAGGUGAGGAUGCGCUGCACGUCACCCAAGGGACGGAUGUCCCUGCUCUCUGAGGCAGGAGAGGGGAGCAGUGAGCAGCCCCUGGGGCUGCAGGAGGUUCCUGCUGCAGCUGGCAAGGCAGCAGUGCCGAAGCCUUCGGGGACCCAAGUCUCUCUGUUACUCUUCCCAAGACUCCCUGGACUGUGACGGCUGGCGAGCCGCAGCCUGACGCUGCAAGACCGACUCUGAUGGCCAGACGGGAGGCCUCUCCUGGGAACACGACCUAUGUUCUCCUCAUGCACAUGUGUCUGAAUAAAGCCUAAAACAAGCUGC